CGAAUGGGGAAACCCAGUGUGAUUCGUCACACUAUCAUUAACUGAAUCCAUAGGUUAAUGAGGCGAACCGGGGGAACUGAAACAUCUAAGUACCCCGAGGAAAAGAAAUCAACCGAGAUUCCCCCAGUAGCGGCGAGCGAACGGGGAGGAGCCCAGAGCCUGAAUCAGCAUGUGUGUUAGUGGAAGCGUCUGGAAAGGCGCGCGAUACAGGGUGACAGCCCCGUACACAAAAGCGCAUGUGCUGUGAGCUCGAUGAGUAGGGCGGGACACGUGGUAUCCUGUCUGAAUAUGGGGGGACCAUCCUCCAAGGCUAAAUACUCCUGACUGACCGAUAGUGAACCAGUACCGUGAGGGAAAGGCGAAAAGAACCCCGGCGAGGGGAGUGAAAAAGAACCUGAAACCGUGUACGUACAAGCAGUGGGAGCACCCUUCGGGGUGUGACUGCGUACCUUUUGUAUAAUGGGUCAGCGACUUAUAUUCUGUAGCAAGGUUAACCGUAUAGGGGAGCCGGAGGGAAACCGAGUCUUAAUUGGGCGUUAAGUUGCAGGGUAUAGACCCGAAACCCGGUGAUCUAGCCAUGGGCAGGUUGAAGGUUGGGUAACACUAACUGGAGGACCGAACCGACUAAUGUUGAAAAAUUAGCGGAUGACCUGUGGCUGGGGGUGAAAGGCCAAUCAAACCGGGAGAUAGCUGGUUCUCCCCGAAAGCUAUUUAGGUAGCGCCUCGUGAAUUCAUCUCCGGGGGUAGAGCACUGUUUCGGCUAGGGGGCCAUCCCGGCUUACCAACCCGAUGCAAACUGCGAAUACCGGAGAAUGUUAUCACGGGAGACACACGGCGGGUGCUAACGUCCGUCGUGAAGAGGGAAACAACCCAGACCGCCAGCUAAGGUCCCAAAGUCAUGGUUAAGUGGGAAACGAUGUGGGAAGGCCCAGACAGCCAGGAUGUUGGCUUAGAAGCAGCCAUCAUUUAAAGAAAGCGUAAUAGCUCACUGGUCGAGUCGGCCUGCGCGGAAGAUGUAACGGGGCUAAACCAUGCACCGAAGCUGCGGCAGCGAACGUAUCACCCAAGACAACUUUACGGAGUUGACGAUUGACGGAGCGAAGCGACGUCAAAGCGUUCAUUAAAGUCGAGUUGGCUUAGGGAUACGUUCGUUGGGUAGGGGAGCGUUCUGUAAGCCUGUGAAGGUGUGUCGUGAGGCAUGCUGGAGGUAUCAGAAGUGCGAAUGCUGACAUAAGUAACGAUAAAGCGGGUGAAAAGCCCGCUCGCCGGAAGACCAAGGGUUCCUGUCCAACGUUAAUCGGGGCAGGGUGAGUCGACCCCUAAGGCGAGGCCGAAAGGCGUAGUCGAUGGGAAACGGGUUAAUAUUCCCGUACUUGGUGUUACUGCGAAGGGGGGACGGAGAAGGCUAUGUUGGCCGGGCGACGGUUGUCCCGGUUUAAGCGUGUAGGUGUGUGUUCCAGGUAAAUCCGGUUCACUUUAACACUGAGGCGUGACGACGAGGCACUACGGUGCUGAAGCAACAAAUGCCCUGCUUCCAGGAAAAGCCUCUAAGCAUCAGGUAACACGAAAUCGUACCCCAAACCGACACAGGUGGUCAGGUAGAGAAUACCAAGGCGCUUGAGAGAACUCGGGUGAAGGAACUAGGCAAAAUGGUGCCGUAACUUCGGGAGAAGGCACGCUGACACGUAGGUGAAGUGAUUUACUCAUGGAGCUGAAGUCAGUCGAAGAUACCAGCUGGCUGCAACUGUUUAUUAAAAACACAGCACUGUGCAAACACGAAAGUGGACGUAUACGGUGUGACGCCUGCCCGGUGCCGGAAGGUUAAUUGAUGGGGUCAGCGCAAGCGAAGCUCCUGAUCGAAGCCCCGGUAAACGGCGGCCGUAACUAUAACGGUCCUAAGGUAGCGAAAUUCCUUGUCGGGUAAGUUCCGACCUGCACGAAUGGCGUAAUGAUGGCCAGGCUGUCUCCACCCGAGACUCAGUGAAAUUGAACUCGCUGUGAAGAUGCAGUGUACCCGCGGCAAGACGGAAAGACCCCGUGAACCUUUACUAUAGCUUGACACUGAACAUUGAGCCUUGAUGUGUAGGAUAGGUGGGAGGCUUUGAAGUGUGGACGCCAGUCUGCAUGGAGCCGACCUUGAAAUACCACCCUUUAAUGUUUGAUGUUCUAACGUGGACCCGUAAUCCGGGUUGCGGACAGUGUCUGGUGGGUAGUUUGACUGGGGCGGUCUCCUCCUAAAGAGUAACGGAGGAGCACGAAGGUUGGCUAAUCCUGGUCGGACAUCAGGAGGUUAGUGCAAUGGCAUAAGCCAGCUUGACUGCGAGCGUGACGGCGCGAGCAGGUGCGAAAGCAGGUCAUAGUGAUCCGGUGGUUCUGAAUGGAAGGGCCAUCGCUCAACGGAUAAAAGGUACUCCGGGGAUAACAGGCUGAUACCGCCCAAGAGUUCAUAUCGACGGCGGUGUUUGGCACCUCGAUGUCGGCUCAUCACAUCCUGGGGCUGAAGUAGGUCCCAAGGGUAUGGCUGUUCGCCAUUUAAAGUGGUACGCGAGCUGGGUUUAGAACGUCGUGAGACAGUUCGGUCCCUAUCUGCCGUGGGCGCUGGAGAACUGAGGGGGGCUGCUCCUAGUACGAGAGGACCGGAGUGGACGCAUCACUGGUGUUCGGGUUGUCAUGCCAAUGGCACUGCCCGGUAGCUAAAUGCGGAAGAGAUAAGUGCUGAAAGCAUCUAAGCACGAAACUUGCCCCGAGAUGAGUUCUCCCUGAGACUUAGAGUCUCCUGAAGGAACGUUGAAGACGACGACGUUGAUAGGCCGGGUGUGUAAGCGCAGCGAUGCGUUGAGCUAACCGGUACUAAUGAACCGUGAGGCUUAACCUU
rnacentral:rRNA from 1 species